ACCUGGUUGGCUCAGUUGGUAGAGCAUGAACUCUUAAUCUUGAGGUCGUGAAUUCAAGCCCCACACUGGGCG
rnacentral:tRNA from 1 species